UCCCUCAGACUAUAUAUAUAUAUAUAUAUAUAUAUAUAUAUAUAUAUAUAUAUAUUGGGGGGGGGAAU